GACAGAGGGUGCAAGCGUUGCUCGGAAUCACUGGGCGUAAAGGGCGUGUAGGCGGGGAGGUAAGUCGGGCGUGAAAUCCCUGGGCUCAACCCAGGAACUGCACUCGAAACUACUUUUCUUGAGUGCCGGAGAGGAAAGCGGAAUUCCUGGUGUAGAGGUGAAAUUCGUAGAUAUCAGGAGGAACACCAGUGGCGAAGGCGGCUUUCUGGACGGUAACUGACGCUGAGACGCGAAAGCGUGGGGAGCAAACAGG
rnacentral:rRNA from 1 species